rnacentral:rRNA from 1 species
GUACCAGACUCCUACGGGAGGCAGCAGUGGGGAAUAUUGCACAAUGGGGGAAACCCUGAUGCAGCGACGCCGCGUGAGUGAAGAAGUAAUUCGUUAUGUAAAGCUCUAUCAGCAGGGAAGAAAAUGACGGUACCUGAGUAAGAAGCCCCGGCUAACUACGUGCCAGCAGCCGCGGUAAUACGUAGGGGGCAAGCGUUAUCCGGAUUUACUGGGUGUAAAGGGAGCGUAGACGGUUAUGUAAGUCUGGAGUGAAAGCCCGGGGCCCAACCCCGGGACUGCUUUGGAAACUGUGUAACUAGAGUACAGGAGGGGCAGGCGGAAUUCCUGGUGUAGCGGUGAAAUGCGUAGAUAUUAGGAGGAACACCAGUGGCGAAGGCGGCUUACUGGACAGUAACUGACGUUGAGGCUCGAAAGCGUGGGGAGCAAACAGGAUUAGAUACCCCGGUA